CCCGCCACGCUUCUUGUCAGAAAUGACUAGCGCAAAUAGGCGGGU
rnacentral:sRNA from 1 species